rnacentral:rRNA from 1 species
AGUGAACGCUGGCGGUAGGCCUAACACAUGCAAGUCGAACGGCAGCACAGUAAGAGCUUGCUCUUACGGGUGGCGAGUGGCGGACGGGUGAGGAAUACAUCGGAAUCUACUUUUUCGUGGGGGAUAACGUAGGGAAACUUACGCUAAUACCGCAUACGACCUACGGGUAAAAGCAGGGGAUCCUCGGACCUUGCGCGAUUGAAUGAGCCGAUGUCGGAUUAGCUAGUUGGCGGGGUAAAGGCCCACCAAGGCGACGAUCCGUAGCUGGUCUGAGAGGAUGAUCAGCCACACUGGAACUGAGACACGGUCCAGACUCCUACGGGAGGCAGCAGUGGGGAAUAUUGGACAAUGGGCGCAAGCCUGAUCCAGCCAUACCGCGUGGGUGAAGAAGGCCUUCGGGUUGUAAAGCCCUUUUGUUGGGAAAGAAAAGCAGCAGGUUAAUACCCCGCUGUUCUGACGGUACCCAAAGAAUAAGCACCGGCUAACUUCGUG